UCAGCAGCCAAGGAAAGGGUGAGAUGAGGAGAUUGUGAACUACAAGGAAGUGAAGAAGAAGAAGGAAGGAAGAAAAGUUGUUUUCUUGAGUCAAGAGUCACAAAAGUAUGAUCAGGAGGUGGCAUGCAUAAAAGCGCAAAUAGCAUCCGGCGAUCCUAUACCUGAUUGGACGAUUCACUCGGAUGGAAGUUUGAGAUAUCAAGGCAACGUGUUUGUGCCAUAAGAUGAGUCGUGUAGAGAAAAGGUUCUGAAAAAGUUCCAUCAUUCGGUGUUUGCAGUGCACACAGGAGGGACAAAAGUGUACCAAGACUUAAAACACCAAUACUGGUGGAAUAGAAUAACGAAACUACAGAAAAGGCGAAACUUAAUCGACAAAGAUUGGUGGAAACUCAAGAUCAUCAGAAGAGUUAUGCAGAUAAAGCAGAUCUCUAACUUUCAUUGUCGGUGAUGUUGUCUUGAAAAUUCAGCCCUGUCAAGGUCUCAUUUGUUUUGAAAAGAAAGGAAAAUUAUCCCCUCGAUAUAUCGGACCCUUCGAGAUACUUCAGAAAAUUGGAGAGGUUGCAUACAAAUUGGCUCUACCCCUGCAAUUGGCUGGAGUACAUGAUGUUUUCCAUGUAUCUAUGUUGAGGAAGUACAUAAUGCACCCUUCUCACAUCAUCAACUGGGAAAAAAUCCAACUCAACGAAGACACUACCUUUAAGGAGUAGCAAUUAUGAACAGACAAGAAAAGAACUUGCGAGGAAAGACAAUUCAACUUCUUAAGAUACUCUGGCAUCACCAUGGUAUUGAAGAGUUCACUUGGAAACGUGAAGACGCGAUGUGGGCAAAUUAUCCACAACUAUUUAAAACGUGAGCAGCCAAGGAAAGGGUGAGAGGAGGAGAUUGUGAAAUACAAGGAAGUGAAGAAGAAGAAGAAUGAAGAAAAGUUAUUUUCUUGAGUUAAUGUAAGAACACAUCUCUCCCUUAUCUUCUCCAAUCCUUCACC